CUCAGGGAGGUAGUGACAAGAAAUAACAACACUGGAAAUUUCAUUUCUAGUGAUUGGAAUGAUGGGAGUCCAAACCCCUUUCAGAGUAACAAUUGGAGGGCAAGUCUGGUGCCAGCAGCCGCGGUAAUUCCAGCUCCAAUAGCGUAUAUUAAAGUUGUUGCAGUUAAAAAGCUCGUAGUUGGAUGUCUGCUGGAAGCAAUCAUCAGUCCGCCCUAUUAUUUUAGGGUGUGCACUUGAUGAAUUCUGGCAUCUAUUAUUAUCCUUAUUAAUAUAGUCAUGAUUUUCAGUAAUUGUGACAUAUUAUUAGGGAUAAUACAGUUACUUUGAGAAAAUUAGAGUGUUUGAAGCAGGCUUUUUGUUGCCUUGAAUACUGCAGCAUGGAAUAACAAUAUAGGAUUUCGGUUCUAUUUUGUUGGUUUCUAGGACUGAAAUAAUGAUUAAUAGGGACAGUUGGGGGCAUUCGUAUUUAACUGUCAGAGGUGAAAUUCUUAGAUUUGUUAAAGACGAACUACUGCGAAAGCAUUUGCCAAGGAUGUUUUCAUUAAUCAAGAAUUCGAAAGUUAGGGGCUCGAAGACGAUCAGAUACCGUCGUAGUCUUAACCAUAAACUAUGCCGACUAGAGAUAGGAAAAUGUCACUGUUUCGACUUCU
rnacentral:rRNA from 1 species